rnacentral:rRNA from 1 species
GACGUAGGGGACGAGCGUUGUCCGGAUUCACUGGGCGUAAAGCGCACGUAGGCGGCUUUUUAAGUCAGAGGUGAAAUCCUGGAGCUCAACUCCAGAACUGCCUUUGAUACUGGAGAGCUUGAGUCCGGGAGAGGUGAGUGGAACUGCGAGUGUAGAGGUGAAAUUCGUAGAUAUUCGCAAGAACACCAGUGGCGAAGGCGGCUCACUGGCCCGGUACUGACGCUGAGGUGCGAAAGCGUGGGGAGCAAACAGG